rnacentral:rRNA from 1 species
AGCGAAUAGACGUACCCCGGUAGUCCCACGACCGUAAACGAUGNUGCUAGGUGUCAGGCAUGGCGCGACCGUGUCUGGUGCCGCAGGGGAAGCCGUGAAGCGAGCCACCUGGGAAGUACGGCCGCAAGGCUGAAACUUAAAGGAAUUGGCGGGGGAGCACAACAACGGGUGGAGCCUGCGGUUUAAUUGGACUCAACGCCGGACAACUCACCGGGGGCGACAGCAAUAUGUAGGCCAAGCUGAAGACUUUGCCUGAAUCGCUGAGAGGAGGUGCAUGGCCGUCGCCAGUUCGUACUGUGAAGCAUCCUGUUAAGUCAGGCAACGAGCGAGACCCGUGCCCACUGUUACCAGCAUGUCCUCCGGGACGGU